ensembl:snRNA U6 U6 spliceosomal RNA
GUUGGCUUCGGCAGCAAACAUUUACUAAAGUGGGAAGGACACAGAGAAGAUUAGCCUGGCUCCAUGCAAGGAUGCCACACACAGGGCGGGAGUGAUAGCACAGUGGG